AAUAGAUAACAUUAUUGACUUUUUCUCACGUGUUUGACCAUUCGUCUUAUUCAAAAAAGAUUUACGUAAUUAUAAUUUUUUUUAUGAGUUGUUUUAUCACUCAUAAUACUUUAAAUGUGAUUUAUAUCUUAUACAUUUGCAUAAAAUUUUUUAAUAAGACGAAUGGUCAAACAUGUGAGAAAAAGUCAACGGCGUCAUCUAUU
rnacentral:pre_miRNA from 1 species